rnacentral:rRNA from 1 species
UGGGGAAUCUUGCGCAAUGGGCGAAAGCCUGACGCAGCGACGCCGCGUGGGGGAUGACGGGUUUCGGCUUGUAAACCCCUGUUGCCCGGGACGAACUUCCCCUUUCGAGGAGAUUGACGGUACCGGGUGAGGAAGCACCGGCUAACUCUGUGCCAGCAGCCGCGGUAAUACAGAGGGUGCGAGCGUUGUCCGGAAUCACUGGGCGUAAAGGGCGCGUAGGUGGCGCGACAAGUCGGUGGUGAAAGUUCGACGCUCAACGUCGAAUCGGCCACCGAUACUGUCGGGCUCGAGCACUGUAGAGGCUAAUGGAAUUCCGGGUGUAGCGGUGGAAUGCGUAGAGAUCCGGAAGAACACCGGUGGCGAAGGCGGUUAGCUGGGCAGUUGCUGACACUGAGGCGCGACAGCGUGGGGAGCAAACAGGAUUAGAUACC